rnacentral:rRNA from 1 species
GCAAGUCGAACGGUAACGGGCCCUUCGGGGUGCCGACGAGUGGCGGACGGGUGAGUAAUGCAUCGGAAUCUGCCCCGUAGUGGGGGAUAACCCGGGGAAACUCGGGCUAAUACCGCAUACGCUCUACGGAGGAAAGAGGGCCUCUGACUCAAGCUCUCGCUAUUGGAUGAGCCGAUGUCCGAUUAGCUUGUUGGUAGGGUAAAGGCCUACCAAGGCAACGAUCGGUAGCUGGUCUGAAAGGAUGAUCAGCCACACUGGGACUGAGACACGGCCCAGACUCCUACGGGAGGCAGCAGUCGGGAAUAUUGGACAAUGGGCGCAAGCCUGAUCCAGCAAUGCCGCGUGUGUGAAGAAGGCCUGCGGGUUGUAAAGCACUUUCAGCAGGGAAGACGGCGUCCGGUGCUAAUACCACCGGGGGUUGACGUUACCUGCAGAAGAAGCGCCGGCUAACUCCGUGCCA